AACGCACAUUGCGCCCGCCAGUAUUCUGGCGGGCAUGCCUGUUCGAGCGUCAUUUCAACCAUCAAGCCCCCGGGCUUGCGUUGGGGCCCUGCGGCUGCCGCAGACCCCUAAAACCAGUGGCGGGCUCGCUGUCACACCGAGCGCAGUAGCAAUAUCUCGCUCUGGGCGUGGCGCGGGUGCUUGCCGUAAAACACACCACUUAACAAGGUUGACCUCGGAUCAGGUAGGAAUACCCGCUGAACUUAA
rnacentral:misc_RNA from 1 species